AAGAGAUGUUGCCCUUCGGGGUAUACCUCCCACCCUUUGUUUAUUAUACCUUUGUUGCUUUGGCGGGCCCGUCCUCGGACCACCGGCUUCUGCUGGUCAGUGCCCGCCAGAGGACCUAAAACUCUGUUUGUUAAUAUUGUCUGAGUACUAUAUAAUAGUUA
rnacentral:misc_RNA from 1 species